UCAGUACAUCCUGUGCUCACGACACAGCGCGAACGGAAGCCAGCGUGCCGUGAAUGCGCUGUCUGUGGCAGUCUGCGCUCUGGGCGUACUUCUGUCAUAGAGCUUGGAAAGAAAUGCUUGUGCAAAAGCCAGAACAUUGCUGUUGAUGCUGCUGCUGCUGCUGUGUCUGAUGAUAGCCCAUAUUUCCUUGCUGUGGUAUGAAGGAGGUGAAAUGCUACAGCUGGAGACUCAGAAGACAAUAAUGGAAAUAUGCUUGCCACGCAAUCAGGAAGCUGAGGAGCUCAGUUUUCUGUGAAGGGAGGUACUACAGGUGGGUGGAAGAGCAAACACUGGAAAUGUUGAGAAACCAGCAGUAUGAACAAAAAAUACAGUGCCAAACCUAAUAGCUUUCACAGAUCUCAGUUACUGCUCAGGCUGAACUUUAUUGUGCUCUGCAGGAACCUGUUAACGUUCACAGCCUGAGGGUCUCAAAUGAAUCUCCAUGUAUUCUGUGUGCCACCACAGCAGACAGGCUUUGUUGCGUUGGUGGUGUCCGACUGGGCUCAGGGAGCAAGUGUUCUCAGAGGUCUCACUAUUUCAAGUUUCCAGUGUGAUCAGUCAGGUUUCUUUCAGGACCACCUGAAGACCAGUAAGUCACCAACACAUUUUGCAUGCUCCCCUGCUCCAUUUUCAAGCUGAAACAGCUGCUCAAGUAACCCUCCUGGCUGAGAUCUUAAAACAAGGCUUUAAGGAAAAGGUAAAUGCUGUAGGGUAGCCCGUUUUAUAGGCUGCCCUUAUACAGAAGAAUAAGAAAGGGAAGGCAAAGGCACA